GUGGGGAAUAUUGGACAAUGGGCGAAAGCCUGAUCCAGCAAUGCCGCGUGAGUGAUGAAGGCCUUAGGGUUGUAAAGCUCUUUUACCAGGGAUGAUAAUGACAGUACCUGGAGAAUAAGCUCCGGCUAACUCCGUGCCAGCAGCCGCGGUAAUACGGAGGGAGCUAGCGUUGUUCGGAAUUACUGGGCGUAAAGCGCGCGUAGGCGGUUACUCAAGUCAGAGGUGAAAGCCCGGGGCUCAACCCCGGAACUGCCUUUGAAACUAGGUGACUAGAAUCUUGGAGAGGUCAGUGGAAUUCCGAGUGUAGAGGUGAAAUUCGUAGAUAUUCGGAAGAACACCAGUGGCGAAGGCGACUGACUGGACAAGUAUUGACGCUGAGGUGCGAAAGCGUGGGGAGCAAACAGGAUUAGAUACCCGAGUAGUCC
rnacentral:rRNA from 1 species